AGUGAACGCUGGCGGUAGGCCUAACACAUGCAAGUCGAACGGCAGCACAGUAAGAGCUUGCUCUUACGGGUGGCGAGUGGCGGACGGGUGAGGAAUACAUCGGAAUCUACUUUUUCGUGGGGGAUAACGUAGGGAAACUUACGCUAAUACCGCAUACGACCUACGGGUGAAGGCAGGGGAUCUUCGGACCUUGCGCGAUUGAAUGAGCCGAUGUCGGAUUAGCUAGUUGGCGGGGUAAAGGCCCACCAAGGCGACGAUCCGUAGCUGGUCUGGGAGGAUGAUCAGCCACACUGGAACUGAGACACGGUCCAGACUCCUACGGGAGGCAGCAGUGGGGAAUAUUGGACAAUGGGCGCAAGCCUGAUCCAGCCAUACCGCGUGGGUGAAGAAGGCCUUCGGGUUGUAAAGCCCUUUUGUUGGGAAAGAAAAGCAGCAGGUUAAUACCCCGCUGUUCUGACGGUACCCAAAGAAUAAGCACCGGCUAACUUCGUG
rnacentral:rRNA from 1 species